rnacentral:rRNA from 1 species
UACAGAGGGGGCAAGCGUUAUUCGGAAUUAUUGGGCGUAAAGGGCGCGUAGGCGGCCUGCUAAGUCGAACGUGAAAUCCCUGGGCUCAACCCAGGAACUGCGUCCGAUACUGGUUGGCUUGAAUCCGGGAGAGGGACGUGGAAUUCCAGGUGUAGCGGUGAAAUGCGUAGAUAUCUGGAGGAACACCGGUGGCGAAGGCGACGUCCUGGACCGGCAUUGACGCUGAGGCGCGAAAGCCAGGGGAGCAAACGGG